rnacentral:tRNA from 1 species
GGAAGUGUGGCUCAGUGGUAGAGCACUUGCCUAGCUCGCAUGGGGCACUGGGUUCGAUCCUCAGCACCA